CCUACGGGAGGCAGCAGUGAGGAAUAUUGGUCAAUGGGCGCGAGCCUGAACCAGCCAAGUCGCGUGAAGGAUGACUGCCCUAUGGGUUGUAAACUUCUUUUAUAAAGGAAUAAAACGAGGCACGUGUGCCUUUUUGCAUGUACUUUAUGAAUAAGGAUCGGCUAACUCCGUGCCAGCAGCCGCGGUAAUACGGAGGAUCCGAGCGUUAUCCGGAUUUAUUGGGUUUAAAGGGAGCGUAGAUGGGUUGUUAAGUCAGUUGUGAAAGUUUGCGGCUCAACCUUAAAAUUGCAAUUGAUACUGGCAGUCUUGAGUACAGUUGAGGUAGGCGGAAUGCGUGGUGUAGCGGUGAAAUGCUUAGAUAUCACGAAGAACCCCGAUUGCGAAGGCAGCUUACUAAGCUGUGACUGACGUUGAUGCACGAAAGCGUGGGGAUCAAACAGGAUUAGAUACCCUUGUAGUC
rnacentral:rRNA from 1 species